GACGAACGCUGGCGGCGUGCUUAACACAUGCAAGUCGAACGGAGCUAUUUAUUUCGGUAGAUAGCUUAGUGGCAAACGGGUGAGUAACGCGUAGGCAACCUACCCUCAGGAUGGGGACAACGGCUCGAAAGAGCCGCUAAUACCGAAUGACGUAUCUUUUUCACAUGGGAGAGAUACUAAAGAUGGGUCAAACCAUCGCCCGAGGAUGGGCCUGCGUCUGAUUAGCCAGUUGGUGAGGUAACGGCUCACCAAAGCAACGAUCAGUAGCCGGUCUGAGAGGAUGAACGGCCACAAUGGGACUGAGACACGGCCCAUACUCCUACGGGAGGCAGCAGUGGGGAAUCUUCCGCAAUGGGCGAAAGCCUGACGGAGCAACGCCGCGUGAGUGAAGAAGGUCUUCGGAUCGUAAAGCUCUGUUGUUGGGGACGAAAGGGUAGACGAGGCAAUGCGUUUACUAAGACGGUACCCGACGAGGAAGCCACGGCUAACUACGUGCCAGCAGCCGCGGUAAUACGUAGGCGGCAAGCGUUGUCCGGAAUUAUUGGGCGUAAAGGGAGCGCAGGUGGGACGGUAAGUCCGUCUUAAAAGGCAGGGGCUCAGCCCCUGUAAGGGAUGGAAACUAUCGUUUCUUGAGUGCCGGAGAGGAAAGCGGAAUUCCCAGUGUAGCGGUGAAAUGCGUAGAUAUUGGGAAGAACACCAGUGGCGAAGGCGGCUUUCUGGACGGUAACUGACACUGAGGCUCGAAAGCCAGGGGAGCGAACAGGAUUAGAUACCCUGGUAGUCCACGCUGUAAAACGUUGGGCACUAGGUGUGGGGGCCACCCGUGGUUUCUGCGCCGUAGCUAACGCUUUAAGUGCCCCGCCUGGGGAGUACGGCCGCAAGGCUAAAACUCAAAGGAAUUGACGGGGGCCCGCACAAGCGGCGGAGCAUGCGGAUUAAUUCGAUGCAACGCGAAGAACCUUACCAAGGCUUGACAUGCGCCCUGGGCGUGCGGAGACGUGCGUGCAUUUGGUUGGGGGUGUGCAGGUGGUGCAUGGUUGUCGUCAGCUCGUGUCGUGAGAUGUUGGGUUAAGUCCCGCAACGAGCGCAACCCUUGCCCUAUGUUGCCAGCACGUUGUGGUGGGGACUCGUGGGGGACUGCCGGGGUUAACUCGGAGGAAGGUGGGGAUGACGUCAAAUCAUCAUGCCCCUUAUGUCUUGGGCUUCACGCAUGCUACAAUGGUUGGUACAGAGGGUUGCGAUAUCGUGAGGUGGAGCGAAUCCCUUAAAGCCAGUCUCAGUUCGGAUUGGGGUCUGCAACUCGACCCCAUGAAGGUGGAGUCGCUAGUAAUCGCAGAUCAGCAACGCUGCGGUGAAUACGUUCUCGGGCCUUGUACACACCGCCCGUCACGUCACGAAAGUUGGUAACACCCGAAGCCCAUGGCCUAACCGGUUUUUGCUGGGGGGAGUGGUCGAAGGUGGGAUUGGCGAUUGGGACG
rnacentral:rRNA from 1 species